CGGGUAGUAUCCCUUUGAGGAACUACACCUGUUAGACGUAUUUCGUGUUCGAAACAAGCAGCUGCAUUUAACAGACAAUCUAAUAUGAUUUAUUUUCCGCUUGGAGCCGGGUGGACCGAGACGGGAGG
rfam:Desulfotomaculum nigrificans CO-1-SRB chromosome, complete genome.